AUGACAUGCAGAUGACAUUUGAUUCAAGCGUGUUGGAGAAGGGUUGUAUCUAAAAGUUGCAGGAUGGUAGGUCUCGAGGACCGAAUUUGGGCACUCCUGACUUAAAUAAACAU